AAAAUCUCCACAGCACCAGCAAGAGGAUUAAGAACACCCUGCUGGAGGGGGGCGCUUCUGCCCUAGAGCCAAGGACCCGAUGGGGUACAAGGGGCGAUCUUUUCUCUCCCUUCCCUCUCAGAUUCAGGAGUCCCUGAAGGGACCAUCCAGUUUCUUCAAACGCUCACAGAUCGUCUCAGAAACCGGGUGGUGGUCAAUCCGGAGAGACUUUCCCUCUGGAGCACCAAGGGUUUCUUCAGUUGAGUCCUUUCUCUCCUCAGCCUUUCCAAUCUCUCUCUCUCUCCCCACCCCUUGUCUCCCCCAUGACAGAAAGUGGCCAAGAUCCUUUCUUUCUCUGCUGCGGGGCAUUUGGGCCUCACCCUGGCCACAUUAGAGGACUGUGUUGCUGGGAUGGAGCUGAAAAUGAGGCCCUCCUCGCCCACCAGAAGUAUGACCAGAACAGCCGGUGAGGCCAGCUCCACCAAGUCCUGGUUUUCAUCUACGGCCAGAUUGCCCCCAGGCCCCGAAAGAGCUCCUGUCGCUGCAGUCGGAGACGGGCGUCCUGAAAAGAGCCCUCGGCCAUUACAGGUCCAGCUGCCAAGUAAGAAUGGGAAGCCGGCCGGGGGAUGGAUUCUCCCGGUUUUCAUCUACGGCCAGAUUGCCCUCCAGGCCCCAAAAGAGCUCCUGUCGCUGCAGGCAGAGACGGGCGUCCUGAAAAGAGCCCUCAGCCAUUACAGGUCCAGCUGCCAAGUAAAAAUGGGAAGCCGGCCAGGGGAUGGAUUCUCCUGGCCAGAGAGAGCCCUUGGGUGACUCCGGCGAAAUGGAGCCAGGAGGGAGCCGGUCGCGAUGGGGAGUGAUGGGAAGGGAAGGGUGGGAUUUCACCUCCCUUCAGACACAAGCAAAGUCACCUGCCCUAAAAGUCAGGUGCAGAGUUGCACCUUUUAUCGCUCAGGGUGCAUUAGCUUCUAGUCUUUUCUUACCUCACUGAGAACUGAACUAGAGGAUACGAUUUGGAAGAGGUGCUCCUCAAGUGGUAAAAGAGGUCUGGUUGCCAUUGUAUCUGAUUUUCAUCACUUUCAUAUCCUGCAUCUUGUAUGCUUUGUUUCAUAAGGGGUUCCCUUCAGUGUUAAUCUCUGAUUGCCUGGGCAUCUGGCUCUGAGGAAAUCCCUUUGUGGGGGCAGAAAGAAAAACAUACAGAGAGAGAAACAGGCAGAAUACAGUGGUGCCCCGCAUAGCGAGGUUAAUCCAUUCCGGAUUAACCAUCGCUAUGGGGAAACAUUGCUAUACGGUGCAAAAAAGCCCAUUUGGAAUGCAUUAAACGAAGCCCACUUCGUUUAAUGCGUUCCAAAUGGGCCCCAAAUUCACCGUUAUGCAAUGUUCCUCCAUAGCGGAGGUAUUUUCGCGCCCUCGGUAAGCGAGGGCAGGCUGGGAAAACGCUGCGCACGGCCAUUUUGCGUCUUCCGGCGGCCAUUUUGGAACCGCCGAUCAGCUGAUUUUUAAAAAAAGCUAUGCGAAGAUUGGUAAGCGAAAUGCUUACCGAUCGUCGCAAAGCGAGUUUUUGCCUAUCUAGGCAUCGGUAUGCGAUCGCAUUAGCGAUCCCAAAAAACGGAUCGCUAUGCGAAUUUGUCGUUAAAUGGUGCGCUCGUUAUGUGAGGCACCACUGUAUAUGUAUCACUCUUAAUGUUUGUAUUAACCCUUAAAUCUCACUUCCAUCAUUCAUAGCAAGCGGGGGUGAUAUAUGCCACUUGCCAUUUCGCUUUUGGGUUUUUCCCAUUUAGAACAAUAAAAAAAUAAUCCAAACAUUUGAGGGGGAAAAA
rnacentral:lncRNA from 1 species